CGAUCUUUGUCCCCAUGUGCAGUUGCAAACUGUAGUCUGGCCUUUUUAUGGCGGUUUUGGAGCAGUGGCUUCUUCCUGAGCAGCCUUUCAGGUUAUGUCGAUAUAGGACUCGUUUUACUGUGGAUAUAGAUACUUCUGUACCUGUUUCUUCCAGCAUCUUCACAAGGUCCUUUGCUGUUGUUCUGGGAUUGAUUUGCACUUUUCACACCAAAGUACGUUCAUCUCUAGGAGACAGAAUGCAUCUCCUUCCUGAGCGGUAUGACAGCUGUGAGGUCCCAUGGUGUUUAUACUAUCGUGCUAUUGUUUGUACAGAUUAACGUGGUACCUUCAGGCAUUUGUAAAUUGCUCCCAAGGAUGAACCAGAAUUGUGGAGGUCUACAAUUUCUUUUCUGAGGUCUUGGCUAAUUUCUUUUGAUUUUCCCAUGAUGUUAAGCAAAGAGGCACUGAGUUUGAAGGUAGGCCUUGAAAUGCAUCCACAGGUACACCUCUAAUUGACUCAAAUGAUGUCAGUCAGAAGCCUCUAAAGCCAUGACAUAAUUUUCUGGAAUUUUCCAAGCUGUUUAAAGGCACAGUCAACUUCUGACCCACUGGAAUUGUGAUACAGUGAAUUAUAAGUGAAAUAAUCUGUCUGUAAACAAUUGUUGGAAAAAUUGUGUCGUGCACAAAGUAUAUAUCCUAACCGACUUGCCAAAACUUUAGUUUGUUAACAAGAAAUUUGUGGAGUGGUUGAAAAACGAGUUUUAAUGACUCCAACCUAACUGUAUGUAAACUUCCGACUUCAACUGUACAUACACAACACACACACCCGUACAGAGUCCUGAUGCAGAAUACACUGUUCCAGAGGUGUGUGUGUGUGUGUGAGAGAGAUGAUGUAAGAAUGAUUAACAUGGUGUCUAUGAUUCUAAGGGGUGAAAUUGCAUCGAGAAGAGAACUACUGGUAUCAGACCAUAAUACAGGCGUAUCUUAUCCAUAAUUCUCAGUACCUGUGUAUGUGUUAGUCUUUGUGGAGGAACUGGUCUCAUAGAAGGGGAAAGAGGGGUCAACGAAAGCACAUAGCACCUUGUCACCAAGGGUUGAAUAAUAUUCUAUUGCGCUCUCUUUUUCCCUCUUUCUCUCUCUCUCUCUCUCUAUACUGCUCUCCUCCAUGUCUGUGCAACUAAUAACACAGCCCAAACACACUUAAACAUCCACAUGAAGUAUGACGUCAUGUUCCAUGUCAAUGCAUGCGGGAGCACAUGCACACACUUUAAGAUGAGGUCAGUAACAGCAGGAGCUACAGGUGUGUUGUGAUGGCUGAGUGCUGUACUAUGCUCUGUCAGAGCCUCUCUGGAGAGUCUGCAGGUGCAGGAGGACACUGACUGACUGCCC
rnacentral:lncRNA from 1 species